rnacentral:rRNA from 1 species
UACGUAGGGACCGAGCGUUGUCCGGAAUCAUUGGGCGUAAAGAGCGUGUAGGCGGCUCGCUAAGUCUUGCGUGAAAUCUCGGGGCUCAACCCCGAGCGGUCGUGAGAAACUGGCGGGCUAGAGUGCGGGAGAGGAGAGUGGAAUUCCUGGUGUAGCGGUGAAAUGCGCAGAUAUCAGGAGGAACACCGGUGGCGAAGGCGGGUCUCUGGGCAGUAACUGACGCUGAGGAGCGAAAGCGUGGGGAGCGAACAGG